GGACGCCCCAAGGGAUGCCCCAAUGCCAGUAGGACGCCCCAUUUCUGCGAGCAUGCAUAACGGCUAGUUUUCAGCUCGUUUUUGAUGUAUUUAAUGCGCAUUAAACGUACUCUAACGGCUCAAAAUCAACUUUAAGAUAUUCUCAAGAGUGAAUGGCAACUAUAAAUGCUCUAUUCAAGUGGAAAAUCAUAAGGUUUUUGCAAGCUCAAAGAUUAAAUCUGAGAAAAGCCAUUUUCAGCCUUAAGAGAGA
rnacentral:lncRNA from 1 species